UGAAAAGCUAGAUUUGUGUUAUUUUCUAAUCGUAUUUAAGUAAACUAAUGCAUGCUAUCUGUGCUUUGUAACCUCUUAGAUAUUGUACUUUAGUGGUUUUUGAUACAGAUAUUAGUAUAUCAAAUAUUUAUUUCCUGUUUCUUAUUUAACUUUUUUUGACCAAUGGAAUUAUACAGAACUUUAUUUUUGAAUGAGUACGAAGUUACAUUACGUUGAUGUCAAUGUAAGAUGACUAUUCAUCGAAGAAGAAGACGCUGUUGUAACAUUGGAUCAAUUCACAGAAGUUUCUUUUUUCUUAGCGUUACCAAUAUGGAUAUUAACUGCAUUUAUUUUUUUCUUUGAAGAGGUUUGAAGUUAAAUAUAAUGUGAAAAGAAUAUAGUAGCGAUGACAAGAAAUGGUUAGAGCCGAAAGCUUUUAGAAAGUAAGAUAAUAAUCUUGUAGAAGUAAGAAACGAAUAUUACUUUA
rnacentral:lncRNA from 1 species